UUCGUCACUGAUUCUAGUUGGUUGUUCCACGAACUACGCAUUUCUGAUGUCUGCCGUUAUGGGAUCCCAUAUCGGCUGAUCGUGAAACUGCGUUCAGGAGUACCGAGAAUGGGUGACC
rnacentral:pre_miRNA from 1 species